rfam:Cucumis melo, WGS project CAJI01000000 data, contig: 25075
CUGCUGCCGGUGAUGGUGUUAAAUAUACUUUGAGAAGAAUUUCAGUGAAAAAAUUUUGAUCUGAGGCAUCGA